rfam:Asian citrus Psyllid, Diaphorina citri - Florida Strain, whole genome shotgun sequence.
GCCUAGUUGGCUUGGUUGUCGGUGCGUCUGCCUUGUAAGCACUGGGCCGCGGGUUCGAUUCCCGCCCGGGGCG